AAUCUAUAUCAAUCCACACACCGUGAACAAUACUGUUGGCCACCCAAUUAUUAGUAAUUUAUUACGAAUUAUUGGGUUGAGGAUUGUACGAGCCCUAAUCAGGCUCAUGCAUGACUCAGUCGCUUCUCCGCUGUCUGCCGUACAAUUAUUAAUUUAAUUGUACGGCUUACAUGAGCGGCGUCGGUCUCAUUACUAACCAACUAACACCAAACCUUAACCAAAUUAAACUCGAGUGUCUAGCUUAGAGCUAGUGCUCACUAACCAAGACAACUCUCAACAACGGAUAUCUUGGCUCUCAGAUCGAUGAAGAACGCAGCGAAAUGCGAUACGUAGUGUGAAUUGCAGAAAUACGUGAAUCAUCGAAUCUUUGAACGCAAAUUGCGCUCGAGGCUUCGGCCAAGAGCAUGUCUGCCUCAGCGUCGGGUUAAUACUCACUCGUACACUCACACUAAUUAAUUUAAUUAAUGUGGGGCAGGGUGGAACUGGCUGUCUCGGUUAUUAAUUAACAAUAAUUAAUUAAACGCCGGGUCAGCUGAAGUACAGAUAUUGUACCAUGGACCGUUAAACGGGCCUCUACUGGGUAGGCAAUUCGUUGCUGCAAUGCUUUAGUAGAUGGCUUGGGUACUGUGUACGAUACGAAACAGGAAUACGACUUGUCGUAUUAAAACCCUAUUUUUGACCUGAGCUCAGGCAAGA
rnacentral:sRNA from 1 species